AUCACCCCCAGUAAAGAUGGAGAGAAUAAGGGUGGGAGGAUUGGGAGAACAGCUGUGUGCUAUAGCACAUUGACCUUGAAGGUCAGUAUCAGGUUAACAAGGCCUUUAGAUUCACAUUUCUGGCCCUUUCCAUGUGAAGGGCACAUCUGAAGCUGGCUGCAGUCACUGGAAGGUGCUGAUGUGACCAUGGAGCAGUGCUGUGUAACCACACCACCCAAAAAGCACGGAGUGGAAAAAUGUCACUCACAUCGCAGAGAUGGAGAAGCAACAGAAUUCCUGAGUCUGGGGAGGAGAGCUACAAACCGGAUAGACUUUGCUGGGGUGGCUGUGAGGACGUCGCUGGUGGAUCGCCUCGUGGUAAAGACUAAACGUGUCAGUCCAAGACUCUUACUGUGGAAGUGCUGGAGAGUUAAGCAGUCAAAAAAGAAACCUGAAAUGGUACCCAUAAAUGGUCAACCAUCAGAGAGUCAGCUUGAGCCUGCCACAAUCACUUUCUUUGUUGGACAGAAAUGACCACAUCCUGGGCUUCCAAAUUAGCUACAAAUGUAAUGUUCAGAAACUAAAAGAUGCUGAAGGCAACCAUUUUAUUCAUUCUGCC
ensembl:lncRNA